rnacentral:rRNA from 1 species
AGAACCUUACCUGGGCUCGAACGGCUUCUGACCGCCGGUGGAAACACUGGCUUCCCCGCAAGGGGCAGGAGUCGAGGUGCUGCAUGGCUGUCGUCAGCUCGUGUCGUGAGAUGUUGGGUUAAGUCCCGCAACGAGCGCAACCCUUGUCCUGUGUUGCUAACCGAAAGGUGCACUCUCAGGAGACCGCCAGUGAUAAGCUGGAGGAAGGUGGGGAUGACGUCAAGUCAUCAUGGCCUUUAUGUCCAGGGCUACACACGUGCUACAAUGGACGGUACAAAGCGCUGCGAACCCGCGAGGGGGAGCCAAUCGCAAAAAACCGUUCUCAGUUCGGAUUGCAGGCUGCAACUCGCCUGCAUGAAGCUGGAAUCGCUAGUAAUGGCGUAUCAGAACGACGCCGUGAAUACGUUCCCGGGCCUUGUCACACCGA